CUGACCAGCGGGUGCGUUGAUCUUGGUGAUGAGUUUGGACGCCCAUGUCACCAAGGGAGCAAGUGGCGUAACCGACCCUGGCAGG
rnacentral:ncRNA from 1 species